CAUAUCUCCAUCUCUCUCCCCCAAUCCCCUUCUUCUCCACCCUCCGGCCGCCACCGCGGCCAGGCCAUCAUGGUGGCAUGCCAACCAUCCAUCCACCACUCCAUCACCCACUCCAUCUCCACCACUUGCCGCUGCCAGCGUCGCAUCACCACCUCGAACCACCGCGCCAUCCAUAAACAUCUCCAUCUUCCUCCGCCUCCUUCUCCACCUCUGGCCACCACCGCGACCAGGCCGGCGUGGUGGUGCACCUCCCAUCCAUCAGUGCCGCAAGUCACCACCAUCUCCGUCCGUCUCCACCAGCACCAUCCUCCCAGCCAGCCAGCAGCAUCGUCCAUCAUUCUCUGCCGCCGCCGCGCUACUCCAUCAACCUCUGCUGCUCCCUCUCCUUGACGCCCAGCUGCCGCUCCUUCUUACCAAACCUUGCUGCUGAUCAUUCUUCUCUUCUCCAUCUACUGCUGCUUCCUCUGCUUCCCUUUCUCUGCUUCUUCCUUUGCCUCACUGCAGCUCCACCUUCUCCCAAUUCCUCUCACAUCUUUGCUGCUGCUUCCUCAAAUCCUUCUGCUGCUCCUUUCUCCUUAAUUCCCUCCUUCUCUGAACCAAAACUAUUGUUCUUCUCUAAAGUCUGAACCGUCUACUGCUAUUGUUGCUGUUUCACAAACCUGAGCUUCUCUCCCUCUAUCACUCUUUCGUAAUUUCUGAAAAUUGUAAUGUACACUUUGCGUAUUGUUCGGUAUACAUGAUUCGUGCCUCCUCUAUGUUUUAGUUACUACAGUGUAUGUGAAAUUGUGAGUGGUUGAGCUACUCAUUGUUGAGUCAGACUUGUACUGUCAUAUAUAUGUUUUGAGUCAUACGUAUCUUUGUGAUUGUGGUUAAUUCUAGUAACCGUGGUGUUGCAUAUUCGUGAUUGUGGUUAAUUCUCUAAAUUUCUGUAAACAUUGAGCAGUGUACGUGCUGUAAUGUUUAGAUCAGACUAGUUCCUGGAAUUGCUAUUUGUUCAGUAUUGUACUUGUAAGAUAUAGUUCAUGUUAUGUGUGAUCAGUGCUAGCUUUGUCCUUGUGACAUAUAUGUUUGUGAUAUGAAUCAUCUAUCUCCUAUCAUAUAACUCUGUUCCUUCCGUGUAUCUUAUAAUUGCUAGUUUUGUAUACAUAAAUGUGAUCUUGUCUUGUUAAUCCCAUUUGUUUAGGAUGUUUGCCUGCAGUUUCUAUUUUCUCAAAUAAAAAAUUAAUACCAAAAAGACUGAGUAAAAUCUGAAUCUCCCUGUGCUCUUUGCAUUUUCUUUGUCGUCGACUUUGGUUAGUUUAGGUCUAUAUUUCCUCGCAAUCAUCAUCUGAAUUAUGUCACCUAGCUUUAGCCGAGCAUUGUUGCUGUCGCGUAGUCCAUGUGGAGAACACGACACUCGCAGUUUGGGCGUAAAACCCCACUGUACUCACAAUAGAUCAAUUUGGCGACGUUGUCGGGGACUAGCGUCAAGCGAUUAUGUUGGCUAUAGACUAGGCUUAUUAUAGUUCCGUGUUUAAUUCAUCGUGUAUUUCAUUAUCUGUGUUUCUUUUAUAUUUUUUCCUUGAUAUUGCUUCGGCUUAUUAGGAUACUAACCUUAUGACUAGUGUUUACUGUUUAUGAGUGUGCGUAGGAAAUCUGAACUAACUGCAAGUUGUUCUAUAGUUACACUUGGUUAAGAUGGCAUUGCUUCGUGAUCUUUGGAUGCCCAAAAGUCAAUGCUAUAUCACAGGACCGGUUUGGCCAACUAUUGAAGCAGAGAACUUCGAGCUGAAACCUAGUCUUUUUGCUUUGGUUCAAUAAUGUCAGUUUGGAGGACGGCCUACUGAGGAUCCCUAUGAACACUUACACCGAGUCAUGGAGUAUUCAGAUACAGUCAAGUACCACAGAGUUCCUCAAGACACAAUCAUGUGCAGGUUGUUCACAUUCUCUCUCUAUGAUGAUGCUCGUGCUUGGUACCAAUCCUUGCCAUCAAGGUCAUACAAUUGGAUUGAGAUAUCACAAGCAUUCUUGGAUAAAUAUUUCCCACUACACAAGAAGUCCGCGAUUCGAGAUGAUAUCUUCAACUUUGUUCAGCGUGAAGGUGAGAGUUUGUAUGAUGCUUGGGAGAGGUACAAAACCUUGUUCAGGAGAUGUCCCAAUCAUGGGCUCGAGAGAUGGUUAGAGCUACAGAUAUUCUAAAGAGGAUUGACUUUGGACACUCGCGCUUACAUUGACAUGGCAGCGGGUGGAGUUAUUACAAACAAGACACUUGAUGAUGCUUUUCUGCUGAUUGAGAGCAUAGCUUUCCACCAACUUCAGUGGUACAACAAGAAGCCCAUGUCUGAUUCAUUAGUUUGCUUGCCACAAAUCACUACACCUCAGCCAUCAAUUCUUACACAGAAGCCUGAACCUCUAUAUCAGUGUGACAAGAUUGAGUUUACAUGGAUUAUCUUUGAUGAUGAUGACACCAUUUUAGUUGAUAGACACGCUACAGAUCAUAUGGAUACUAGUGUUGGAGAUUCGGUUUUGCAUUGUGAUGAUUCUUCCAUGGAUGAGCAUGAGUUGCAGUUAGUUGCUUUUGGUAUUGAGGAGUCACCUUCGGUUAAUAUAGAUCAUGUGCUGCCUGAACCAGACAUGGAGAAGUUCACCUUUGAUGAUGUUAGCCACAUCGGUUCUUCAACGCUUGAGCCUGAGAUGGAAAUCUUCAUUGUUGAUUAUGAUGAGGUCACUUCAGAUGUCAAGGAGCAAAGCUCUACUAUUUCACCUGUCGAUACGAGCCAGGUGGAAGUUUCUACUACCAUGCCUUCCAUGGUAUCUUCAGUUGAGGUAGUCAUAAAACUUCUCCAAGGCCAUCUCAGGUAUUAUCUCAGCUUUCUGGAUAAGUUAUGUCAUAUUGCUGAUAUUGCCUAUGCACCAUGUGACUUGUUGUUGAUACAUGUUCCUGAUUUGCUCAAUAGAUAUACUUAUAUGAUAGGGUACUCAAUCGAUGACUUAAAGGGCAUUCUCUCUAUCACUUGUAUUGGCUUGGUUGUUGAGUGUUCUUUCAGGUUGAUGCUUGUGCACCAUUUACUGCGAGUUGACCGAGUUCGAGAUGACAUUCCCUGGGAUCCUGGUGGAUUCACGACAUGGUGAUGAGGAGAAGCAAUGGGCAUACGCGAAGAAGAGUGAAGCUGGAGCAGGCAUGGGGAUAGACAAGCAAAAAGAGAAGAGCUAAAGUUUAGAGAGUGUUGAGCGAGUGCAACUUCCUAUAUAAACCCCGUGUAUACCAUGUUGUUGGGAUCGGUGGUAUGUUCCUUUGAGGAGACAAACAAAAAAACUAAUAAUUGGUCGAGCCAGGUGUAUACCAUGUUCUCGGGAUCGGUGGUAUGUUCCUUUGGUGAGACCGAUAAAAUAUUAUCAUUACUUCCUUCAAAUUCAAUAAGUGCUUCAACCAUAAUGUUAUGUUCCUAGUAUUAAGUUUCUUUUUUUGGGAUCAUGCUCUCUUUAGGAACCCUUUGGUGCAAUCAGCAUUUGAACUUGUUGAUCCAAUUGUAUCUUUGUAGAAGUUUAAAAUGAUUGAGUUUACUAGUGUCCUAUUGCUCUGUAGCACUCUUAACCAUUGAUUUUCACUAGCUAAGUCAAAAGCAUGCAUUGUUUAGAGAUAUACUUCACUUGACAUUCUCUAGUUAGUUCACUGUUCAUAUUCUUGCUCUUGUCAUAUGCCUUUGCUUGAGGACAAGCAAAGAUUUAAGUGUGGGGGAACUUGAUAAGCGCAUUUCAUAUACAUUAUUUUAUGCUCAAAUAUACCAUUAAUUGAGAUAUACCCAUCCAUUCUUGCUACGAAUUGUUGAAUAUUCAAAUGAUAAUCAUAAAAGAGAAUGUUGACUAGUGAAUUGUUUAUUUUGCAGAAAAGUGCGCAAAGGCACUAUAAACUUCAAGAUUCGAUCGAUUGCCAAACGCAAUGAGACUUGGGGCUGGAACGAGAGAACGAGGGACCUGAGCGAGAAGAAAAUAAGUGUCCAGGGUCAAGGUAAUGUUGGAGGAUCAUCUUGAGAAGAAAGAAAGGAAGCAGGAGGGCCAAGGUGAAAAAAUGGCAGAUCAUAGGAGGAGGUCAAAAUCCCUAGACGCCCUGAUUCCCAAAAUCGGGCCUGGCAUAUCUCCAUCUCUCUCCCUCGAUCCACUUAUUCUCCACCCUCCGGACGUCGCCGCGGCCAGGCCGUCGUGGCGGUGUGCCAUCCAUCUAGCCACCACUACAUCAUCCACUCCAUCUCCACCACCCGCCGCUGCCAGCGUCGCAUCACCACCUCGAACCACCACGCCAUCCAUCAACAUCUCCAUCUUCCUCCGGCCACCGCUUCAGCCAGGCCGGCGUGGUGGUGCACCUCCCAUCCAUCAGUGCCGCAAGUCACCACCAUCUCCAUCCAUCUCCACCUGCGCCAUCCUCCCAGCCAGCCAGCCGCACCGUCCAUCAUUCUCUGCUGCCGUCGCGCUACUCCAUCAACCUCUGCUGCUCCCUCUCCUUGACGCCCAGCUGCCGCUCCUCCUUCCCAAACCUUGCCGCUGAUCCUUCUACUCUUAUCCAUCUACUACUGCUUCCUCUGCUUCCCUUGCUCUGCUUCUUCCUUUGCCUCGUUGUAGCUCUACCUUCUACCAAUUCCUCUCACAUCUUUGCUGCUGCUCCUUCCUCCUUAAUUCCCUCCUUCUCUGAACCAAAACUAUUGUUCUUCUCUGAAGUGUGAACCGUCUACUGCUAUUGUUCCUGUUUCACAAACCUAAGCUUCUCUCCUUCUCUCACUCUUUGUAAUUUCUGAAAACUGUAAUGUAAACUUUCCGUAUUGUUCGGUAUAGAUGAUUCGUGCCUCCUCUAUGUUUUAGUUACUACAGUGUAUGUGAAAUCUUGAGUGGUUGAGCUGCUCAUUGUCGAGUCAGACUUGUACUGUCAUAUAUAUGUUUUGAGUCAUACGUAUCUUUGUGAUUGUGGUUAAUUCUA